UCUUAGGAGUGAACAAAGAAAGUGGUUUCUUGAGAUGGAAUCUACUCCUGAUGAAGAUACUAUGAA
rnacentral:pre_miRNA from 1 species